rnacentral:rRNA from 1 species
ACGAACGCUGGCGGCAGGCCUAACACAUGCAAGUCGAACGCGUGUAGCAAUACACGAGUGGCGCACGGGUGAGUAACGCGUGGGAACCUACCUAAAGGUACGGAAUAACCAACCGAAAGGAUGGCUAAUACCGUAUACACCCUCCGGGGGAAAGAUUUAUCGCCUUUAGACGGGCCCGCGUCGGAUUAGCUAGUUGGUGAGGUAAUGGCUCACCAAGGCUACGAUCCGUAGCUGGUCUGAGAGGAUGAUCAGCCACACUGGAACUGAGACACGGUCCAGACUCCUACGGGAGGCAGCAGUGGGGAAUAUUGGACAAUGGGGGCAACCCUGAUCCAGCCAUGCCGCGUGAGUGAUGAAGGUCUUAGGAUUGUAAAGCUCUUUCGGCGGGGAAGAUGAUGACGGUACCCGCAGAAGAAGCCCCGGCUAACUUCGU